rnacentral:rRNA from 1 species
UACAGAGGGGGCUAGCGUUGUUCGGAAUUACUGGGCGUAAAGGGCGCGUAGGCGGCCCGCUAAGUCGAACGUGAAAUCCCCGGGCUCAACCCGGGAACUGCGUCCGAUACUGGCAGGCUUGAAUCCGGGAGAGGGAUGUGGAAUUCCAGGUGUAGCGGUGAAAUGCGUAGAUAUCAAGCGGAACACCAGUGGCGAAGGCGAGUCCCUGGACGACUCCUGACACUGAGGCACGAAAGCUAGGGGAGCAAACAGG